UCAACUUAUGAGCGACAUGGCCGCCAUGUUGCUGUCAUGAACUCUCUCCCUCUCUCUCUCUCUCUCCUCCUCUCUGUCUCUCUCACCCACCACACAUCUCACCACCGGGAAGAAGUGCCAGGGCCCUUCUCUGUUUUCUUUCUGAGGGAAAAGGACAUCUGUGGCAGAACCAGUCUCUUUUGACAGCCCAUUUCUUGCCUGCCGUCUGCUGGACCUUUGGGCCGGGGCAUAACCUUCCAAACGGGACUUGGCAGACCCAAUUCUCCCCUUUGGCAGUUCCGAGCCCAAGACUUGAGGGUGAUGCUAGGAGCCUCCAGUUCGCCCUCUGGGACCAACCAAGUUCUCAAAUCCAGCUUUUCCACAGAGCGAAGAUGGACUGUGUGAAGAAAGUCUCCACCCAGCCACUGCCCUGAGGGUUUAUAAAAGUCCACCUCACCCUUACCAGCUUGAGUUCCUAAAGGUGAGGAACUUUGUGGUGAUAAUUUUAACAUUACAGUAUCUAUUCAGAUAGGUAGAAAACUGACUUAUUCUAUUUUUUUAAAAUUUUUUAUUAUUAUUUUUUUUGAGAUAGAGUCUUGCUCUGUCACCCAGGCUGGAGUACAGUGGCGCGAUCUCAGCUCACUGCAACCUCCACCUCACAAGUUCAAGUGAUUCUCCUGCCUCAAUUUCCCAAGUAGCUGGGACUACAGGGACCAUAUUAGCCAGGAUGGUCUUGAUCUCCUGACCUUGUGAUCCACCCACCUCGGACUCCCAAAGUGCUGGGAUUACAGGUGUGAGCCACCUCACCCUGCCUAAACUGCCUUAUUUUAAAGCCUUUAGAUUGUUAUGUGUUUUGGGCAUUUAGUGUCUAUUGAAUGAAUCUUAUGUGUGGUGAACAUAAUUAUUUCAAAACAUCUAUGAUCCAAUAAUUCUUUAAUAUUAUCUCCUUGAACUUGCACAUUGGCUGUCUAUCACUGUUCAGGUGGAAAAGAAAGUAAAUUUCUUCUUCUUUAAACAAGUGGCUUCAGGAUCACAGUAACAUUUGUUGUAGGGCUGUGUGUGUGUGUGUGUGUGUGGUUCUAUCAUGUUUUGAUAUUUAGAUGCCUAGACUCAGAGCAGUAGCUCUGCUGGGGACUUAGUGAGUGACAGAAUACCAGCGAAUGGCCACACGUGGGUGUGAGUUCUCCACGUAUGGAUCAGAGACCCGGAGCACAUGGAGGUUCUGCCAGCUCGCACACCAGCAUCCAGCAAGCAGAUGGUCCUGGCAAUAUUCGCAGCCAUUGAAAAUCAUGUUUUCCAAGAGUAUUUAAUGAUGGAGAGAAAUAUGAUCUAACGUGAAGUGAAUUGCAUGAAGACUCUGAACUGUGUACCCAGGAUGGUCUGAUGAGUCAGCUAUAAUAACCACAGGCAGGAAGUGGAGCCAACCAAACCCUGCUGACUCAUUCCCAUGGACGGAGAGAAGGGGAGGAAGCUCCUACAGAAGGUGCCCAGCCCUGGGAAGGUCAGUUAACGCCUGACUGACAGGGUCAGAGGAGGAGGAGGAGCGAGCCAGGCAAGAACGGGGGCGAGGCUUCUGGGAACAGGACAGGGCAGCACCCCUGCAAAGGUCUUCAUGUGGACCAUUUUCCCAGGAGCCAACCCCAAACUGUCCUACCCUAAAGGGUGUUGGCUGCCGAGCUCUUGUUUGGCAGUUCUUUGAGAGUCCCUUAAAGUCACAUCUACAUGGUUUUUAAAUUUUAAUUUUACAGUACUAUUUGAAAGGCAACUUGAAUGUGGUCUAGUCCCGUAACUAGAG
ensembl:lncRNA